GAUGAACGCUGGCGGCGUGCUUAACACAUGCAAGUCGAACGGAGAUAUCAUGUGAGCGGAAGGUGCUUGCAUCAGCUAAUCAAAUGAUAUCUUAGUGGCGGACGGGUGAGUAACGCGUGGGUAACCUGCCUUAUACAGGGGGAUAACACUUAGAAAUAGGUGCUAAAACCGCAUAAGCGCACACUGCCGCAUGGCAGAGUGUGAAAAACCAAGGUGGUAUAAGAUGGACCCGCGUCUGAUUAGCUAGUUGGCGGGGUAGAGGCCCACCAAGGCGACGAUCAGUAGCCGGCCUGAGAGGGUGGACGGCCACAUUGGGACUGAGACACGGCCCAA
rnacentral:rRNA from 1 species